UUGUUAUUAGUGAACAGUAGAGUAUUUCAUACACUUUCCUUAUUGCUCAUACCAAUUGGAUUGAGUCAAAAUUGAACUGUCAUCACGAAAUAUUAGGGUGUUAACUCUUAGAUGUGAAACAAUCCUCAUUUGAUUGCAUAAACUCUUGGCAAUUAAAUGAUUAAAAAAAAAUUAUACAGGAAGAUCUUCAAACUUUGUGCUUAAUCCUUGGCAAAUAUUUGUUGACCAUUUCAGAUUUUCUUCCCUUUUAUUGUGUAUGGCAUAGUCAAGAUGAAAAGCACUCGGUAAGGGAGUCAAUUUUCUUUAAAAUGCAAAGUAUAUAGGUAAGAUCCUUGUUGAAAAGAUUUCUCCUGUGCCACCGUCUGUAGCCUGCCAGCUUACCAAGGAGAGUCACAACUGUUUAUUUUCUUAUGUUUUUAGAAAGGAGAUCAAGCACUAGUGAUUUUUAGAAAUGGCAUAGAGCUAAAGGACUACUGUUUAUCCACUGUUGCUGUAUCAUCUUUGCUUUCCAAUUUCUUUAGGUAAUGCCUGACAAUCUGGAAACAAAUAAACAAAUCUUCUCAUCGCGCUCACCAUGUGGUACUGUAACAGUAGCUUCUUUCUCAAAAAAGGACGGAUGUAUUGGCCCUCACCUCAUUCAGCUCUCUCACUAUUUUAUCUUAGGUUGUUCACAAUUGACAACUAGCUACUUGUAAUGCAGAUUAUGCAGGCUAUGCAGCGUCUGAGGAGGAUAACAGAAGUAAAAAAUAAAGCCCUCACUUUGGUUCAAAUGAAAACUAGACUUAAUAUGUUCACUUUAAAUGUCUUUCAGUAAUAUUCUCAUCCCUGAAUAAAGAUAAUUUCAACUAGUAGCCAAACGUAGAGGCUGUAUAGAACUACUGAGUCACGAUCACCUGAAGCAAGCACUGAGACAGCCCUGCGAGCACGGGUGAAGGCGAUCCAGCUGUGUGACCAGAAAGGAUGGAGCCUGGCUGCACCUCUGUUAGACCCCCCAUUUAAGGACUGACAGCCACAGGGGAAGGGUCUCUCUCUGGAGGUCCCUCCUCUUGGAGUUUUUCUUGCAAGCCCAGGACACAGAGAGUUUGCACAUGGAAGCGUGACUGUGCUUGCAGUUCUGCAGUACAAAAGGCAACCAGGGCAUAAUCAAGGAAAGAACUGCCUAGGAUGUCAGGGCUGGCCACUGACGGGGAAAAAAAAUGAAUCGGAUGAGAACUGAGAGAAGUAUAAGAAACCAAGCACAGAACUCCAUGGCCUCGAAGUCUGAAAAUGAAACACUAAAAACAGAAAGCACGAAACAACUACAAAAACUGUGUUGUUCUUACUGUACAGAUUUCCCAGGAAAAAUCUGUAGUAGUUUUAAUGAAAUAAUUCAGCUUGCCUUUUUGCCUGAAAGGAACAAUGCAGCAUUAUUAUUUUCAUACUAAGGGUUCUUGUCUGAUUUCACUUGUGUUUGAACAUGCCUCUGGGGCUUCUGAGAAUGGCCAGUACCCUGUUUGAUGAAGUAACUGGUGUCUGCACCCAAGAUGAAACUUACCUCUAAGCAGAGUCAGCCAAAGGUCUCUCUACUGUUUAAAUGAAAUUAAGAGUUUAUUCUGAUCCUCUGCAGUGUAUUAAUCUUUCCUUGGGAAAGAAAAAAAAAAAUCUACGCUGCACAUUUCAGACUAUAUAUGUUUCACUUAAAAGGAGAAAAAAGCCUCAGGUGAACACUUUCAAGAUUACGUUUCAGGAUUUUGAUUUCCUUUUUCUGAUUAAAAUAAUCAAUCACAUUAAAUGAAAUCAAAACAGUCAGAAUACUCCCCUGUCUUGUAAAAACCCUAUGCAUCCAGUUCUUGAGCUUGUACGUGCAUUUUUGUUACGCUGUGGACUGAUAAUUCUGCAAAAUAUUA